GGUGGCUCAAUGGUAGAGCGCUUGCCUUGCAUGCAGGAGGCCCUGGGUUCUAUUCCUUAGCACCA
rnacentral:tRNA from 1 species